rnacentral:rRNA from 1 species
UACGGAGGGUGCAAACGUUGCUCGGAAUCAUUGGGCGUAAAGCGCACGUAGGCGGCUAGAUAAGUCGGGUGUGAAAGCCCUGGGCUCAACCCAGGAAGUGCAUUCGAAACUGUCUAGCUUGAAUCUCGGAGGGGGUCAGAGAAUUCCCGGUGUAGAGGUGAAAUUCGUAGAUAUCGGGAGGAAUACCAGUGGCGAAGGCGCUGACCUGGACGAGAUUGACGCUGAGGUGCGAAAGCGCGGGGAGCAACGGG